rnacentral:lncRNA from 1 species
CCAAAUCUAGAAAUCCUUUUAUUACAUUCAUGAAAAUCCAUAUUUUCAAAUGUAAAUAAAUACUGAACCAUACAAGCUAUCUAUGCUAUAACAACAGAAUAAUAAGGGUAGAAACUAAACCGAACAACCUGGGUCGGAAGAUCUAUCGACCGCUACGUACGUAUCUCGCGUCUCGUCCCAAUACACACCGCCUGCGAUACCUGAAAAAUGGUGGGGGAGGUGAGAACAUGUAAACAUGUCUCCCCUCCCAGUGGGUACCGCAAGCCGAAGAAGGCGAGGAGUACUCACCGGAUCAGGAAGAGCUAUACAGCAACACGGGUCAGUGGAAAUACAGUAGGAACAAUAGUAAGCGAAAGAGAUGUAUAAAGUAAUAAGCAGAUAUACUAAAUACAGUAGUAAUAAACUGACAGAAAGUAAGAACUAGACUGAACAACGGCUACCGCUACUGUAACUGGAACCGAAAGCAUACAUGAAUAUCUACUAUAGUAGCAUGACAACUAUAAAGUAAGAACUGUAAAUAUGCAUGCACGACUGCUACUAUAGACAUAUGCGUCAACUGACGAUAAUCUCAAAAGUACCCAAUCUCGAUGCCUUAUUGGUCCGAAGACCUCAGGCCCAUGCCACACUGCUCAACCUGUUCCUGACCCUCGCAAUGAAGCCCCUGGGUCAGAAGCAUAGUACCUGACCCUCGCAAUGAAACCCC